rnacentral:rRNA from 1 species
UACGAAGGGGGCUAGCGUUGCUCGGAAUCACUGGGCGUAAAGCGCACGUAGGCGGAUCUUUAAGUCAGGGGUGAAAUCCUGGAGCUCAACUCCAGAACUGCCUUUGAUACUGGGGAUCUCGAGUCCGGAAGAGGUGAGUGGAACUCCGAGUGUAGAGGUGAAAUUCGUAGAUAUUCGGAAGAACACCAGCGGCGAAGGCGGCUCACUGGUCCGGUACUGACGCUGAGGUGCGAAAGCGUGGGGAGCAAACAGG